AGCGAACGCUGGCGGCAGGUCUAACACAUGCAAGUCGAACGAAGUCUUCGGACUUAGUGGCGGACGGGUGAGUAACACGUGGGAACGUGCCUUUAGGUUCGGAAUAACUCAGGGAAACUUGUGCUAAUACCGAAUGUGCCCUUCGGGGGAAAGAUUUAUCGCCUUUAGAGCGGCCCGCGUCUGAUUAGCUAGUUGGUGAGGUAAAGGCUCACCAAGCCAACGAUCUGUAGCUGGUCUGAGAGGACGACCAGCCACAUUGGGACUGAGACACGGCCCAAACUCCUAUGGGAGGCAGCAGUGGGGAAUCUUGCGCAAUGGGCGAAAGCCUGACGCAGCCAUGCCGCGUGAAUGAUGAAGGUCUUAGGAUUGUAAAAUUCUUUCACCGGGGACGAUAAUGACGGUACCCGGAGAAGAAGCCCCGGCUAACUUCGUGCCAGCCGCCGCAGUAACAC
rnacentral:rRNA from 1 species